rnacentral:RNase_P_RNA from 2 species
GCAGAAGGCUGGACGGCCGCGUGGGGUUUCGGCUCCGCGAGGAAAGUCCGGACUCCAUGAAGCAACGGUGCCGGGUAACGCCCGGGCGGGGAAACCCGACGGAAAGCGCCACAGAAAACAGACCGCCCCGGCGGCUUGGAGGUCCGCCUCCGGCCGGCAGCCGGGGUAAGGGUGAAACGGUGGGGUAAGAGCCCACCGCGCCCCUGGCAACAGGGGCGGCACGGCAAGCCCCACCGGGAGCAAUGCCAAAUAGGGCCCCCGCGCAGGCAGGUCCCGGAAACGGGAAACCGCUGCUAGGCACGCUUCAGCCGAGAGGGGCCGGGUUGGCAGCUAGAGGCACGCAGCAAUGCGCGCCCCAGAUGAAUGGCCGUCGAGCCCGGGAUUUCGGUCCCGGGGGGACAGGAUCCGGCUUACAGGCCUUCUGCGCAU